ACGUAUUCUUGAUAAUUUAAACCCCUGGUGAGAAGUGUCGUUACAUAGUUUUUCCGAAGAGCUUCAAACUCCGUUCUUCUCCCACCAUAACUCCCAUACAUAUAUCCGCUCUUGUACAUAUAUAAGUACACAUAUUUCUACUACAUAUAAAUGAUUUUCACACACUAAUAUAUAAUAUUUUCUAUUAUAUUCACAUAUAUUUAUUUAUAAAUUAUA